GGGCAGACACGUUGGACUUAGGAUCCAAUGAGGAAACUCAUGGGGCUUCAAAUCCCCCUCUGCCCG
rnacentral:tRNA from 1 species